GAUGAACGCUGGCGGCGUGCUUAACACAUGCAAGUCGAGCGAGUGAGUUCUUCGGAACGAUCUAGCGGCGGACGGGUGAGUAACACGUGGGCAACCUGCCUCAUAGAGGGGAAUAGCCUCCCGAAAGGGAGAUUAAUACCGCAUAAAAUUAUCGAGUGGCAUCACACGAUAAUCAAAGGAGUAAUCCGCUAUGAGAUGGGCCCGCGGCGCAUUAGCUAGUUGGUGAGGUAACGGCUCACCAAGGCGACGAUGCGUAGCCGACCUGAGAGGGUGAUCGGCCACAUUGGGACUGAGACACGGCCCAGACCCCUACGGGAGGCAACAGUGGGGAAUAUUGCACAAUGGGGGAAACCCUGAUGCAGCAACGCCGCGUGAGUGAUGAAGGUCUUCGGAUUGUAAAGCUCUGUCUUUGGGGACGAUAAUGACGGUACCCAAGGAGGAAGCCACGGCUAACUACGUGCCAGCCGCCGCAGUAA
rnacentral:rRNA from 1 species